rnacentral:pre_miRNA from 1 species
UUGGUACUCCCUCCGUCCGGAAAUACUUGUCACCAAAAUGGAUAAAAGGCGAUGUAUCUAGACGUAUUUUAGUUCUAGAUACAUCCUUUUUUGUUCAUUUUGAUGACAGUAUUUUCGGAUGGAGGGAGUAUUAG